CCUACGGGUGGCUGCAGUGGGGAAUAUUGGACAAUGGGGGCAACCCUGAUCCAGCCAUGCCGCGUGUGUGAAGAAGGCCCUCGGGUUGUAAAGCACUUUCAGUGAGGAAGAACGCCUGGUGGUUAAUACCCAUCAGGAAAGACAUCACUCACAGAAGAAGCACCGGCUAACUCCGUGCCAGCAGCCGCGGUAAUACGGAGGGUGCGAGCGUUAAUCGGAAUUACUGGGCGUAAAGCGCGCGUAGGUGGCUUGAUAAGCCGGUUGUGAAAGCCCCGGGCUCAACCUGGGAACGGCAUCCGGAACUGUCAAGCUAGAGUGCAGGAGAGGAAGGUAGAAUUCCCGGUGUAGCGGUGAAAUGUGUAGAGAUCGGGAGGAAUACCAGUGGCGAAGGCGGCCUUCUGGACUGACACUGACACUGAGGUGCGAAAGCGUGGGUAGCAAACAGGAUUAGAUACCCGUGUAGUC
rnacentral:rRNA from 1 species